rnacentral:lncRNA from 1 species
CAAAUUUUCAAAGAAUUUCCUCUCUAAUCUUCUUGUUUUCUUUCGUCUUUACCUCCGGUUUUCCUUUUGCGAUUUCGAUCAAUUUCUGCCAGCGUUUUCUGUUGAAUUUUGUAAGUACUUGAAAUUUUUGUAAUUAUCAAAGUAAUGGCCUCGUCACCUUCUGAGGAGAAAAUAGAUCUUAGAGGUGUCGCCUCUGAAAUGGGGGUCGAAGUUACCAAUAUUGUCAACCUUGUUAGAGACAUUAGGGUCGGACAAAUUGUACUACCUCGAGCAGAGGAUGGGGAAAAUGAGGAAGCAGUAUUGGGGCGGUCAUCUAUUAUAGAUGCUUCCCAUUUAGUGAAUCUUAGAUAAAAAUAUUGUAUCCCAUAUGACAUAGAACUCAAACCUCUUGCCCCAAGUGAGCUGUUUAUUUUCUGAGGCCUGGGUGCCUCGCCAUUAGCGAAUUUCUUCUUAAAGCAGGGCUUCAACUACCUUUACAUCCAUUCUUUAGAGCUGUCCUUAGGUUGUACGGACUGACUUCCACUCAAUUCGUUCCUAAUGUGUGGGCACAACUAGUGGGAUCAUACUUUCUGUGGAAAGAGACCUCCCUAGGUAAAGACAUGCCGUUCUAAGUUUUUUAAACUUUUCUUCAGCCUAGGUCUCUAGGUAAAGGAGACUUUAAGGGUUGGUAUUCUUUAUGUUCAUUGGGGUCGCAUCCAUCCAUCAAAGAAUGGAAAGAGACAUGGUUCUGGGUGAGGGAGAAAUGACAAGUAUGUGAGGGUGACACCUCCCCCAUGUGACAGUUCCCAUCUCCAGCUCAGAAGCUAGUAAGUGUUGUACCUUUUAAGU